rnacentral:rRNA from 1 species
UGCUGACCAGCUAGCCCACCCUAACAAAAACAACAACCCAAUAUAAAUAACCCCAAACACACUACUCCUCCUAUAAACAAACCAUUUUACCCCCCUAGUAUGGGCGACAGAAAAGGAACUAUUGGAGCGAUAGAGAAAGUACCGCAAGGGAACGCUGAAAGAGAAAUGAAAUAACCCAGUAAAGCCUAAAAAAGCAGAGAUUUUACCUCGUACCUUUUGCAUCAUGAUUUAGCUAGUACUACCCAAGCAAAGAGAACUUUAGUUUGGACCCCCGAAACUAGGUGAGCUACUCCAAGACAGCCUAUCAAUAGGGCAAACCCGUCUCUGUGGCAAAAGAGUGGGAAGAGCUUUGAGUAGAGGUGACAGACCUACCGAACCUAGUUAUAGCUGGUUGCCUGAGAAUUGGAUAGGAGUUCAGCCUCCAGGCUUCUCUAUUCACCGCGGUCUUACCCCUACCGAUGCACUAAAGAAGCCUAGAGAGUUAAUCAAAGGGGGUACAGCCCCUUUGAGACAAGAUACAACUUUUCCAGGAGGGUAAAGAUCAUAUUUACCCAAGGUAACAAUGCCCAGGUGGGCCUAAAAGCAGCCAUCCUUACAGAAAGCGUUAAAGCUCAAGCAUUACACCUUCCCACAUAUUCAGAUAACCAUAUCCCAACCCCCUAAUAUUAUCAGGCCAUCUCAUGCAUACAUGAGAGUGCACAUGCUAAUAUGAGUAACAAGAGAGCCUCCGCCUCUCUCCUUGCACACGUGUAAAUCGGAACGAACCCCCACCGAAACUUAACGGCCCCAAACAAAGAGGGCAAUGAACAACAAGUAAGCAACCAGAAAACCAUCCAAAAAACAACCGUUAACCCCACACUGGUGUGCCAUUAAGGAAAGACUAAAAGAAAAAGAAGGAACUCGGCAAACAUACCAAGCCUCGCCUGUUUACCAAAAACAUCGCCUCUUGCAAAACAAAGAAUAAGAGGUCCAGCCUGCCCUGUGACUAUAUGUUUAACGGCCGCGGUAUUUUAACCGUGCGAAGGUAGCGCAAUCACUUGUCUUUUAAAUGGAGACCUGUAUGAAUGGCAUUACGAGGGCUUAACUGUCUCCUUUUUCUAGUCAGUGAAAUUGAUCUCCCCGUGCAGAAGCGGGGAUAUAACCAUAAGACGAGAAGACCCUAUGGAGCUUUAGACACCAAGGCAUAUCAUGUCAAACACCCCUAAACAAAGGACUAAACCAAAUGAAUCAUGCCCCCAUGUCUUUGGUUGGGGCGACCGCGGGGAAAUAAAAAACCCCCACGUGGAAUGGGAGUACUACCUCCUACAACCAAGAGCUGCAGCUCUAAAAAACAGAAUAUCUGACCAAUAAGAUCCGGCAACGCCGAUCAACGGACCGAGUUACCCUAGGGAUAACAGCGCAAUCCCCUUUUAGAGCCCAUAUCGACAAGGGGGUUUACGACCUCGAUGUUGGAUCAGGACAUCCUAAUGGUGCAGCCGCUGUUAAGGGUUCGUUUGUUCAACGAUUAAAGUCCUACGUGAUCUGAGUUCAGACCGGAGUAAUCCAGGUCAGUUUCUAUCUAUGAUAUGUUCUUUUCUAGUACGAAAGGACCGAAAAGAAGAGGCCAAUGCUAAAAGCACGCCUCACCCCUCCUAUUGAAAACAACUAAAAUAGGCAAAAGGGCAUACCCCUCCACGCCCAAGAUAAUGGC